rnacentral:tRNA from 1 species
AGCUAUUUAGCUUAUAAUAAAGCAAAUAUUUUGAAAAUAUUAGAAAGAUUUAAAUUUAAUAGCUU